UUUCCCUGUGGAAGCUGUACCCGAGGCCGA
rnacentral:piRNA from 1 species